AACAGGGUAUUGCCUCAGUAACGGCGAGUGAAGCGGCAACAGCUCAAAUUUGAAAUCUGGCUCUUUUAGGGUCCGAGUUGUAAUUUGUAGAAGAUGCUUUGGGUGUGGUGCCGGUCUAAGUUCCUUGGAACAGGGCGUCAUAGAGGGUGAGAAUCCCGUAUGUGACUGGUCGCCUUCGCCUAUGUAAAGCUCUUUCGACGAGUCGAGUUGUUUGGGAAUGCAGCUCUAAAUGGGUGGUAUAUUUCAUCUAAAGCUAAAUAUUGGCCAGAGACCGAUAGCGCACAAGUAGAGUGAUCGAAAGAUGAAAAGCACUUUGGAAAGAGAGUUAAACAGUACGUGAAAUUGUUGAAAGGGAAGCGCUUGCAACCAGACUUGUGUUUAGUUGAUCAUCCGGUGUUCUCACCGGUGCACUCUGCUAUAUUCAGGCCAGCAUCGGUUCUGGUGGUUGGAUAAAGGCCUGUGGAACGUAGCUCCCCUCGGGGAGUGUUAUAGCCUCAGGUGCAAUGCAGCCUACCGGGACCGAGGACCGCGCUUCGGCUAGGAUGCUGGCGUAAUGGUUGUAAGCGACCCGUCUUGAAACACGGACCAAGGAGUCUAACAUCUAUGCGAGUGUUUGGGUGUCAAACCCAUACGCGUAAUGAAAGUGAACGGAGGUGAGAACCCUUAAGGGUGCAUCAUCGACCGAUCCUGAUGUCUUCGGAUGGAUUUGAGUAAGAGCAUAGCUGUUGGGACCCGAAAGAUGGUGAACUAUGCGUGAAUAGGGUAAAGCCAGAGGAAACUCUGGUGGAGGCUCGCAGCGGUUCUGACGUGCAAAUCGAUCGUCAAAUUUGCGCAUAGGGGCGAAAGACUAAUCGAACCAUUGGAACUACUACUUAGGUGGUUAAGAGGUGCCGCGGCACCUAGCCCGCGGGGGCUACACUAUCAAAGUGCGGGGACGUCCUGUUAACUUCCAAACCACCGCAGCCCUCCCGAAAGGGGGGGCGCGCACCAGGGUAAUGACCUCGGGGAUGGUAAAAGCGUUUGGAUGGGGAUGAUUCGCAGCCAAGUCCUACCGGCUCUCGCAGCCCACGGAUGCAGUUCACAGACUAAAUGUUAGUGGGUCUGGGUUUCCCAGGCUUAAGGUAUAGUCGAUCCUCCCCGGAGACGGCGGAGUA
rnacentral:rRNA from 1 species